UGUUCGUAUUGAUAACGACGCGGAUCGCUCUCUCCCCGUUUCCACUGCAAUACGGCAUACCAAAUGGCUGUCCGCGAAGUUGGUGAGUAGCGGGCCGCGGCGGCGGUCUAACCAGGAAAUGAACAAACGUUAAUGUGCCUGUUAUAAGAUAUAAUUUAUAAUUGGCACGCCGCGAUUCAAAGUCCGAUACGAUGUUGGUCGUUUAUAACUGCUUAUCGUUUUUGUUGUGCAAUGAUUCAACGACGUAGGUACGGACAAAUGUACGUCGUUGUCGAAUAUUUUGACAACGGUUCAAUCGUCAACGCUACCGAUAGACACAUUAUUCGUGUAUACGUGGAUCUACACUAGCCUACACUACUUCCACAACAUUUUUUUCCGCGAUCACUUCCGUCGCUGCCGAAGUCCGGAAUUGCAUCUAUAUUCAUCACCAUCAACAACAAUAUCAUUUUCAGUCGGCCAGUUAUAUCAUGGGCGUAUAAAGGAUUUUCUUGAGGAGGGGGAUAUCAAAAUUUUCUUUAGUGCUGUUGCAACUUUUUGUUGGUUACUCCAUGUAAGUUUCAAAGGCUUCAAAGGCUUCAAAGGCUUCAAAGGCUCAACAUGACUUUCCCAGCUGACGCUUGAACUUUAAACUUCUAUGAACAUGGUGAAGUCUUAUGACGAAACUCCAUUGACUGUCUUUUGUUUCUGGGUCAUAAUUAUGUACCAAAGAUUCAUUUUUGAUAACAAUAAUAUUUAAAAAAAUUUUGUUUUUCACUAUCAUAACGCAAAAGAAGUUGGGAAAGUAUUUCGUCAAUUUGUCUUUCAGUAACAUCAUAGAUUCGCUAAUUAACGAUAUGAGACUGGCGUCUGUCUACAUCUCGCUCUGCAGUUCGUGGGAACAUAGUUAAUAUAUUUUGGUCAACUUGAGUUUUCCACAGAGUUAAUUUUUCAUUAAAAGCCAUAAUUUUGUCUGAUGAUAUUAGAAUAUUUUCGUUACGGCCUUGCAUGCUUGUACUUUAUUUAUUCAAAAGUUCAAAAAUAUCAGUUAAAAAAGAAACUUUUGUCCACCACUUUUCAUCUCCAAGAAACUCAUAUUUCGAUUCUUCUAUUGUUAAAAAUACAAUUAUUAUAUUUCUUCACUCAAAUCAUAAGAACGUGAUAUUACCCGGCCUCUUGAUAACUAUCUUAUUGUACUGUGAAAAAGUAAUUUUGAGUUAUCUGAAUCCAUACCUUCACACAUUUUUUUAAAUAACUUUGACUUUAGUGGACUAUUUUUAAUAUAAUUUAUCACUUUUACAACUUGAUCAAAAACUUACUUUAAAUCACCUACCAAUGAUUUUGUCACAAGGGCUUCUCGAUGUAGAAAACAAUGAGUAAAAAUAAUAUUUUCAUUUUUUUUCUUGGCAAAAGAAAUAAAGCCUUUGACUGAGCCAGUCAUCACGGGAGCGCAGUCGGUACAUACUCCAAUACAUUUAUCCCAUGGUAAAUUGGCAAAUUUCAGAUAAUGGUCCACUAUUUCGAUAUAUUGAUAUAUAUAUAUAUAUCAAUAAUCACUUGCCAUUUGUUUUUAAAAUCAUCCCAAAUCGUUGUAUAAGUUGUAACUCUUAAUUUUUUAUAUCAGCACUUAUUUUCACGUUUUUGAAAAAUCUACGAGAAGUAUUACUAUGAUUAGUCGUUCAUUUGUCUAUAUUAUGAAAAAACAAAAUUUAAUAUUAAAAAUUAUAAUCUAAAAUUGAAUGUACUCAUAAUAAAUAGUACCUUUCAAAACUAUAUCUCCAAAAAGACUAGUUUCUGUCUAAAUCGAUCUUGUAUACAUUUUAUUAUUUUUGCAUAAAUAAUUUUAUCUUUAGCUGACCGAACCUAUUCACAAAUAACACAUUUGGAAGUCAUAAAACGCAUGUUUUUCAUUUAUACUAAAUAGCCAUUUCUCAUUGUAGUCGUUAGUCAUUAUACUAACUUGUUAUUUUUUUAACUCCAAUCUAUAUAAAAUGUGUAAUAGACAUUCGAAAAUUCGUAUAUACGCAUGAAGUGUUUACAGCCCAAAGUUGUAAUACUCAGGUUGUACACUUACAUUUUUUGCUAGGGUAAUAUUUAUAUAUUUUGGAGAACACUUACAGAUAUAGCAUUUUUGACUUAAUGAACUAUCUAUUGAAUUUUAAACCUAAAAUAUGUUUAAAAAUCGUUUGUUAAUUUUCGUGGGUUGCAAUACUAUGUCUAUAAUUCUAGACUUAACUAAAAUGUGAGUAAUAAUUGUAAUAAAAGUUUGUGAAACUUACUUUUCCGUCUAUCAUAGUGAACAUUAAUGUGCUCUGUACUAGAAAUUGAAUGUAAUUUUUAAAAAUUUGAGUUAGAAUCAACAACUUAAUUUCUUCUUCGACAGCAUUUACUUUUUUUAAUGUCGACUCAAUAGUUUCCUUUUUAAAAUCGAAAAUUAACGGAUGAGAGUAACAGGUUGACGAAAGACGGAGAUUUCUUCAUAAAACUACAUUUCUAGAAUUGUCUAUCUUUGUACAUUUCAGCUGUAAAGGAACCAGUGAAAACCUAAAAAUACCGGAGUCAUCUAAGUCAUUAGAUGCAUGAAAAAUUUGCUUAUAUCUAGAUCGACUAAUGCUUCCAUCAUAUUCCCAUUAAAUAAUAUUUCAAAAUUAUUCACCGUUAAAUCUAUGAUUUAUAUAUCCGAAAUUGAAAAUAUUCUCUAGAUAGUGUGCUUAACAAGGUGCUGCAAUUUAAUUUUAAAAGAAUAUUUUAUAAUUUGAAUAUUUGGUUGAUAGCAUUUUUUUUUUUUUUUGGCCGUUAAAACAGGAUCUAGGACUUUUCGGCGCGGCCGUUUCGGCGAUAGAUAUUUUCGGCGAUGCCGUUUCGGCGUUGUGGGCCUGUUGACAUUUAUUUGUAAUUUUUGAAAUUUUAGAAGAAAUACUUAUUUUACAUUAAAUAAUAUUGUAAAAUAACAUUUUAUAUAUAUAUAUAUAUAUACUUAGUUAUUUUGAUAGUUCAA
rnacentral:lncRNA from 1 species